AGAGUUUGAUCCUGGCUCAGGACGAACGCUGGCGGCGCGCCUAACACAUGCAAGUCGAACGAGCGAGAGAGAGCUUGCUUUCUCGAGCGAGUGGCGAACGGGUGAGUAACGCGUGAGGAACCUGCCUCAAAGAGGGGGACAACAGUUGGAAACGACUGCUAAUACCGCAUAAGCCCACGGUGCCGCAUGGCACAGAGGGAAAAGGAGCAAUCCGCUUUGAGAUGGCCUCGCGUCCGAUUAGCUAGUUGGUGAGGUAAUGGCCCACCAAGGCGACGAUCGGUAGCCGGACUGAGAGGUUGAACGGCCACAUUGGGACUGAGACACGGCCCAGACUCCUACGGGAGGCAGCAGUGGGGAAUAUUGCACAAUGGGGGAAACCCUGAUGCAGCGACGCCGCGUGGAGGAAGAAGGUCUUCGGAUUGUAAACUCCUGUUGUUGGGGAAGAUAAUGACGGUACCCAACAAGGAAGUGACGGCUAACUACGUGCCAGCAGCCGCGGUAAAACGUAGGUCACAAGCGUUGUCCGGAAUUACUGGGUGUAAAGGGAGCGCAGGCGGGAAGACAAGUUGGAAGUGAAAUCUAUGGGCUCAACCCAUAAACUGCUUUCAAAACUGUUUUUCUUGAGUAGUGCAGAGGUAGGCGGAAUUCCCGGUGUAGCGGUGGAAUGCGUAGAUAUCGGGAGGAACACCAGUGGCGAAGGCGGCCUACUGGGCACCAACUGACGCUGAGGCUCGAAAGUGUGGGUAGCAAACAGGAUUAGAUACCCUGGUAGUCCACACCGUAAACGAUGAUUACUAGGUGUUGGAGGAUUGACCCCUUCAGUGCCGCAGUUAACACAAUAAGUAAUCCACCUGGGGAGUACGACCGCAAGGUUGAAACUCAAAGGAAUUGACGGGGGCCCGCACAAGCAGUGGAGUAUGUGGUUUAAUUCGACGCAACGCGAAGAACCUUACCAAGUCUUGACAUCCCUUGACAGACAUAGAAAUAUGUAAUCUCUUCGGAGCAAGGAGACAGGUGGUGCAUGGUUGUCGUCAGCUCGUGUCGUGAGAUGUUGGGUUAAGUCCCGCAACGAGCGCAACCCUUAUGGUCAGUUACUACGCAAGAGGACUCUGGCCAGACUGCCGUUGACAAAACGGAGGAAGGUGGGGAUGACGUCAAAUCAUCAUGCCCUUUAUGACUUGGGCUACACACGUACUACAAUGGCGUUAAACAAAGAGAAGCAAGACCGCGAGGUGGAGCAAAACUCAGAAACAACGUCCCAGUUCGGACUGCAGGCUGCAACUCGCCUGCACGAAGUCGGAAUUGCUAGUAAUCGUGGAUCAGCAUGCCACGGUGAAUACGUUCCCGGGCCUUGCACUCACCGCCCGUCA
rnacentral:rRNA from 1 species